rnacentral:rRNA from 1 species
GAUAAACGCUAGCGGUGCGCCUAACACAUGCAAGUCGAGCGAUCGAACUGGACUGAUCACCCUUCGGGGUGAGAGGACCAGUGACGGAGCGGCGGACUGGUGAGUAACGCGUAGCCAACCUACCCCCUUGACGGAGAUAACUACCUGAAAGGGUAGCUAAUACCCGAUAUUGCUCGAGAUCGAAAGAUCUUGAGCCAAAGGCGGUCUUGCCGUCGCAAGAGGAGGGGGCUGCGUCCUAUUAGCUUGUUGGUGGGGUAAUGGCCCACCAAGGCGAUGAUGGGUAGCUGGUCUGAGAGGAUGGCCAGCCACAUUGGGACUGAGAUACGGCCCAGACUUCUACGGGAGGCAGCAGUGGGGAAUCUUUCGCAAUGGGCGAAAGCCUGACGGAGCGACACCGCGUGGGGGAUGAAGGCUUUCGGGUUGUAAACCUCUUUUCUGGGGGAAGAAUAAGGGCGGGAGGAAAUGCUCGUCCGAUGACGGUACCCCAGGAAUAAGCAUCGGCUAACUUCGUGCCAGCAGCCGCGGUAAGACGAAGGAUGCAAGCGUUAUCCGGAAUUACUGGGCGUAAAGGGCGCCUAGGCGGCUGAGUAAGUCACCCGUGAAAGCCCUCAGCUCAACUGAGGAAUGUCGAGUGAAACUGCUCAGCUUGGGUGCAGGAGAGGGAGGGUGGAACUCACAGAGUAGCGGUGGAAUGCGUAGAUACUGUGAGGUACCCCGAUGGCGAAGGCAACCCUCUGGCCUGCUACCGACGCUGAAGCGCGAAAGCGUGGGGAGCAAAGGGGAUUAGAUACCCCCGUAGUCCACGCCGCAAACGAUGUUCACUGGGUGUCGGUCGCUAAUACAGAUCGGUGCCGGAGCUAACGCGUUAAGUGAACCGCCUGGGGAGUACGGCCGCAAGGCUAAAACUCAAGAGAAUUGACGGGGCCCCGCACAAGCGGUGGAGCACGUGGUUUAAUUCGAUGAUAAGCGAAGAACCUCACCUGGGUUUGACAUGCUAGUGGUAGGAACCGGAAACGGGGACGACUCUUGCCUUCGGGUAAGGGAGCUAGUACAGGUGAUGCAUGGCUGUCGUCAGUUCGUGUCGUGGGACGUUGGGUUAAGUCCCGAAACGAGCGCAACCCCUGUCGUCAGUUGCCAGCGGGUAAAGCCGGGGACUCUGACGAGACUGCCGGUGAAUAGCCGGAGGAAGGAGGGGAUGACGUCAAGUCAUCAUGUCCCUUAUGCCCAGGGCGACACACAUGCUACAAUGGGGGGUACAAAGGGCUGCAAUGCCGUAAGGCUGAGCCAAUCCCAAAAAACCUUCCUCAGUUCGGAUUGAGGUCUGUAACUCGACCUCAUGAAGCCGGAAUCGCUAGUAAUCGCAGGUCAGCCACACUGCGGUGAAUAUGUACUCGGGGCUUGUACACACCGCCCGUCACACCAACCGAGUGGGGGGCACUUAAAGUCGCUCUUUAUAGAGCGCCAAGGGUAACCUUACUGCAAGAGGGGUG